UAGCAUAUCAAUAAGCGGAGGAAAAGAAACCAACAGGGAUUACCUCAGUAACGGCGAGUGAAGCGGUAACAGCUCAAAUUUGAAAUCUGGCUCUUUUAGGGUCCGAGUUGUAAUUUGUAGAAGAUGCUUUGGGUGUGGCUCCGGUCUAAGUUCCUUGGAACAGGACGUCAUAGAGGGUGAGAAUCCCGUAUGUGACUGGUAGCUUUCGCCCGUGUAAAGCUCUUUCGACGAGUCGAGUUGUUUGGGAAUGCAGCUCAAAAUGGGUGGUAAAUUUCAUCUAAAGCUAAAUAUUGGCCAGAGACCGAUAGCGCACAAGUAGAGUGAUCGAAAGAUGAAAAGCACUUUGGAAAGAGAGUUAAACAGUACGUGAAAUUGUUGAAAGGGAAGCGCUUGCAACCAGACUCGCAGGCCGUCGAUCAUCUCAGGUUCUCCUGGGUGCACUCGGCGGUCUUCGGGCCAGCAUCGGUUUGGGUGGUGGGAUAAAGGCCUUGGGAAUGUAGCUUCUUUCGGGGAGUGUUAUAGCCCUCGGUGCAAUGCCGCCUACCCGGACCGAGGACCGCGCUUCGGCUAGGAUGCUGGCGUAAUGGUUGUAAGCGACCCGUCUUGAAACACGGACCAAGGAGUCUAACAUCUAUGCGAGUAUUUGGGUGUCAAACCCAUAUGCGUAAUGAAAGUGAACGGAGGUGAGAACCCUUAAGGGUGCAUCAUCGACCGAUCCUGAUGUCUUCGGAUGGAUUUGAGUAAGAGCAUAGCUGUUGGGACCCGAAAGAUGGUGAACUAUGCCUAAAUAGGGUGAAGCCAGAGGAAACUCUGGUGGAGGCUCGCAGCGGUUCUGACGUGCAAAUCGAUCGUCAAAUUUGGGUAUAGGGGCGAAAGACUAAUCGAACCAUCUAGUAGCUGG
rnacentral:rRNA from 1 species